rnacentral:rRNA from 1 species
GACGAACGCUGGCGGCGUGCCUAACACAUGCAAGUCGAACGGAACUGUUUUGAAAGAUUUCUUCGGAUGAAUUUGGUUUAGGUUAGUGGCGGAAGGGGGAGUUACCCGUGAGUAACCUGCCUUCCAGGGGGGGAUAACCUUCUGGAAAAAAUGCUUAUAACGCAUGACCUAUUCGAAACACCUUGUUUUUAUUUCAAAGAUUUUAUCGCUUGAAGAUGGACUCGCGUCCGAUUAGUUAGUUGGUGAGGUAACGGCUCACCAAGACCGCGAUCGGUAGCCGGACUGAGAGGUUGAACGGCCACAUUGGGACUGAGACACGGCCCAGACUCCUACGGGAGGCAGCAGUGGGGGAUAUUGCGCAAUGGGGGCAACCCUGACGCAGCAACGCCGCGUGAAGGAUGAAGGUUUUCGGAUUGUAAACUUCUUUUAUUAAGGACGAAAAAUGACGGUACUUAAUGAAUAAGCUCCGGCUAACUACGUG